GCCUUCGUGGUGUGAUGGUCAGCACACUGAGCCGGUAUUUCAGAGGUCCGUGGUUCGAUCCCCGGCGAAGGCG
rfam:Stegodyphus mimosarum contig42425, whole genome shotgun sequence.